ACUUUUUGUGAUGUCAUAAAAGCCUCCCGAGAACUCACAAUGAACAACAGACACAACCUUGCUGUUUCCCAGCACAUUUAGGACAUUCACCAACUGACAUUACUCUAUAUCAUUGUCAAAGUUAAUGGAGAACCAAAAAAUACCAAAGGGAAACCAAAGACAUAUAGCUUUUGCAACAAAACUAUUUAGAGGGGGCCCCCAAGUUGAAGAAACACCAAAGCUUCACAAAUGCAAGAGUGUCAGGCUUAAGUGUCACCCACAUAAGUCUGAACCAGCUGGUCUGAUUGAGAAAACAUUGCAAGAAGCUGAUGCUUUCUGUAGACGAGAAGGAGCACAACAUUCAGAAGACCUUAACUGUGGCUAAGUGGAUGUUUCUGGGAAGCCUACGAGCAAGUUUUGAAAGCAGUAGCCUUGGAAACAACAACAGUCCCCUGAAUGGCGUUGCUACCACCUUAGCAACUGUCAUGUUGCCCAUGAACCUGGGACACUUUUUAACCAUUAGCUAUUGCAGCCAUUCAUUCAUUUAUUUAUCUUCUAUUAAUUUGUGUAAGCUUCUUAAAAAUCACCACUAUUAUUGAGUACUGCUGUGGCAAUGAAUGCCACACAUUUGAUGUCAUAGCUUGCUUUCCUUUGUACUGUAUCAAACGCUAAUAAGUUUCAUUUGGUAACCCCCAACAGAGUUAUUAUUUCAUUUGGUAACUCCAAGGUUAUGGGAUACUGCAGACCACUGGUUCCCAACCUUGGGUCCCCAGAUGUUCUUGGACUAGAAGCGUUCAGCAUUAGCUGUGCUGGUCAGGAUUUCUGGGAAUUGUAGCCCAAGAACAUCUGGGGACCCGAAAUUGGGAAUCACUGCUGAAAACAAUGUUCUAACGGUGGCUACAUCAUGCAUACAUCUAGCCAUGGCAUUACAGUACUGGCCAUCUUAUUUCUGGGUUUUUUAUGACACUUGGAAUUUUUUGCCAUUUAUU
rnacentral:lncRNA from 1 species